AGGAGACAUAGGUAGUGGUAUAAAAGCCUGAAAAGGAAAAGAAUAUUCUGGUGGCUUUUCUGUCUUCAUGUUUGCUUUAUGUUUUAGUUUUAAGAAGACCCAAACUCCCA